GCGCAACUUCCCUCGGAAAACAGCUCUCUGCUACCUGUGACUUGCUUAUGCGAAAGGAGAAUCGUUGCUGAUACUGAGACCAUAAGAACUCCCAAAAUCACAGAGGAGAGCGCUGGCCAAUUAGGAGAGAAAGGACAAGCAGACGAGAGGAGAGUGAUGGUCGAUGGAAAGGAUAUUGAAAGCUACAUAAAUAAACAAAAAAAAUUGAAGAGGCUUUAAAUCAAAGAAAACUAGAAAUGGGGAAGAAAUGGAAAGGGACAACAAGGGCCUGCUGGAGAAAAAAAAUGGAAAAGAGGAAGCAGAGAAGACCUCCACAAUCGG
rnacentral:misc_RNA from 1 species